UGUCAGCAUGUCUUUUGCCAGUUGGGAAGGCAUCGUGCUCUUCUUGCAAAGGCACAAAUAUUGUCACAUCACCAGGAAAACCAGUGAUUUUAAUUACCAUCAAUGGACGUUAUGACUUGCAUCAACCACUGCACUUCUGUGAAACAUGCCAGAGGCAGUGGGCUCCAGAACUGAAGGACCUCAUUAGGAGCGGUUAUUGGCCGGCCUCUCUUAGUGUGUAUACCUUGUACACACUAGACCUUCUGAGCUCCUUUCAGGAAUUGAAGGUCAUUUCUCCUGGUUUUGCCAGACAGGCCUUUGCAAAAUUGCUGGAGCACCGCACAAAGUGUGGAGGGAGAUCGGGACAUAUCAAUGGAGAUGCACUGCAGCGCAGUUUUUUAGAGUUUUCCUACUCUUCAUUUGAAAAAAGCAACUGUGCUGUGGUGCUGAAUUCACUUGCCCUGCCUGCACGCCUGAAAUGUUGGCUGUUUCUGCAGCUGGAAACAGAAAGUUAUAUCGCUUUGGCCAAAGUGGAAGCUCUGAUGACCCUGCCUUUUUUGAGGGGCUCUUUGU